rnacentral:tRNA from 1 species
UGUUGGGUGGUGAAAUUGGCAGACACACCUUCUUGUCUCGGUGGUGGGGAUCAUGGGAUAAACACAGUUUAUGGGUUGACCACAAAUUAAUUUUUUGAACUGCAGCUAACUUCCCCUUGAAGGUUCGACUCCUUCCCCAACAGCCA